GACACUGUCAAAUCGUCAAGUGCGCAAGGGCUCUCUCGCAGACAUUUUGAUCCCUUUAUGCACUAUUUCCUUCAGUCCGCAUUUCCGUAGACUCUGCCCGAGGGAAUUGCCCCCAGUUCAUACCUUUGUGACGUGUACGGGGGUUACAAGGGAAGCCCGGAAGCGUCAGAAAAAUCCCGGAAAACACGACUAAAUAUAGAAGAACGUGAAAACUUAACGCCAGCAUGGCCAAGAGUCUAACGAGCAGCGUGUGUCCGUAACGAGAGAGAGAAGCAUCGCUGAGCCAGCGUUUGACCGGACAAGACGCGAGAGAAGUGUCGUGCUGAUCCGCGGGAGAAGGAAGGGGAGUCGUUCCUGACCCAGGGUGGAGAGUGCCGCGAUUUCGCCAACAGAGGGCAGCAACAGCGAGGACUACAGCUCCGGAAAUAUCCCCUACAGGCCACAGAGUGCAGUAUCUGUUUCGUCCAUUGCUGUCAACACAAAACGGGCGGCUCCACAGACAGCGCCAGAACCUGAUUCAUGAACGUUUCAUUGGUGGGAGAUGGCGGAAGGCCUGACCUUGUUAUGUCUGGAACACAUCAACGGUGAGACAGAAGAGCAACAGAUCUGAGGCACAGAGUGGCUCACUGCCAAAGAAGAUGUUAAAGUAUUUACAACAUCAAGACCAAAGCAUAGAGGCCUUUGGGUCAAAACGUCAACAGACAAUAACAACAAAAGGACAAUGUGCCAGGUGAAGGGAGAGGACUAGGGAGUAACUUCCCAGUUAAAUUCAGACUUUGCCAUGUAUUGGGUUAGAGGUUGUGACACAAAGUCUAAAUGGAGCGGGAAUUCAAAAUUAAAAUGUAACUCUUUUGUUAUAGGUAUUGCACGACAACAAAUAUCCUAGGAAGAUAGGUGAACAAAUGUUUCAUGAUGACAGUAUCAUUACUCAAGACCGUAUAAUUGUGAUUUGUGUCAAAGGGGCUGAUUUCUGUGCUGAAUUGGAUUGUUCUCCACUGUUACUGAAGGUUUCAAGUUCCUAGGUGGCUUGUAGCCAACCUAGUACAAAGAGAGUACUGCUUGGAGAAUUAGAUGGUUUAUUAUUUUUAUUAUUUUACUUAUAUUCUCAAUGAUUGAAGUGAUUAUCAUUCAAAUGAUGUAUGAUUUAUUUUAUGCAAUUUAUAGUCAUUGUAUAAUCAGUUUAUAUUCCAUUCAUAUGUAAUUGUUUGAAACAAAAUAUUUUGCAAGGCUCUGAAAGAAAUCUGCACAUGCUUUAUUGGUCAGGUUGGAAGUCUUUUACUUCCCCCCAGCCAAAUGGGGAGGGAGAGGUUUGGCUUCCAGCCUCUGGAGCGGUGGUUGACAGAGGAGAUGUUUUAGGUAAUUGGGUUGAUUUAAACUCUCUUAUAGGAACUGAGUUCUCCUCCUCACCUACCGCAUCCAGGUCUAGAUUGUGGGACUUAGAAGUCCCAGAGGGGGGAUGUGUAGGGAUAUUUUCAUAAAAUGUUAUUUCACAUUAACCUGAUGAAGAGUAGACAGAACAUCUCA